UAUUCCUGAAGCUGUAGAUCUGCGGGACUACAAGCCGCACGAACCUGGAACUCUAUGGGAACAAGGGGCUUCUGCCCCUGUAGCAGCCGGCCAAGUUCUGUCCAGUUCUUGUACCCGACAUCUCUGUCACAGCAGCUCCUGCAAUUCCUGGCAUAUAGAAUGUUUCACCACGAAGGUUUGUGGUUUCGGCGCGUUCACACAGACGUCCUCAGAGGCCCCGGCCCACCUCCUAAGGAACCACGGUGAUCACCUGAAGUUUUUCACAGAGUAAGUUUUACAUGCCCCACCCUGGUAUCUCUGUGUCCAACACCUGCUGGGUAUUCUGUACAUGAAUCAUGGUCCAGUAGUUUCUUCCGCCAUUUAAAAAAUAUUUAAAGGAAGCAUCAAAUAUUAUUUCUAUCGCACAAAGAAUCUAUUCGGCAUAGAUGUUCAGGGGACCAGGCAUCACCUUUACCAAUAUACCCUGGACAAAACUUGAUUUCAAGUAAAACCAGUCCUAUAAGUCCAAGUCUAGCCCUUGUUCUUAGAUUGGGAUUCCACGAAUGAAAACCUCUAAGUAGUUCUGGUGCGGAGCAAGAGCGGUGCACAAGCGGUGCACAAACGGUGCACAGCUCAAAAAAGUAUUUGUUGAAUGAAUCAAUGACACUUGGAAAAAUAUCUUUAAGAUAAUAAAUGGGUUUGAUUCAAAGUUCAAAGGAUACCGAACUACAUGUACGGGAGAGUGUUUUUCUUACUGCUU
rnacentral:lncRNA from 1 species